GACGAACGCUGGCGGCGUGCCUAAUACAUGCAAGUAGAACGCUGAAGGAGGAGCUUGCUCCUCCGGAUGAGUUGCGAACGGGUGAGUAACGCGUAGGUAACCUGCCUGGUAGCGGGGGAUAACUAUUGGAAACGAUAGCUAAUACCGCAUAACAGUAGAUAUUGCAUGAUAUCUGCUUGAAAGGUGCAAUUGCAUCACUACCAGAUGGACCUGCGUUGUAUUAGCUAGUUGGUGAGGUAACGGCUCACCAAGGCGACGAUACAUAGCCGACCUGAGAGGGUGAUCGGCCACACUGGGACUGAGACACGGCCCAGACUCCUACGGGAGGCAGCAGUAGGGAAUCUUCGGCAAUGGACGGAAGUCUGACCGAGCAACGCCGCGUGAGUGAAGAAGGUGUUCGGAUCGUAAAGCUCUGUUGUAAGAGAAGAACGAGUGUGAGAGUGGAAAGUUCACACUGUGACGGUAUCUUACCAGAAAGGGACGGCUAACUACGU
rnacentral:rRNA from 1 species